AGAUUCUGCUCGUGUUUUCCCUUUGUAACAUGUCAUAGAUUUGCAAGACUUUCCUAUUUACUAAUUUGUUAUUAAUCUUCUUUCCAGCUUACUACUCUUUUAAAAGUCCACGUUUCAUUUCUCUGUACAUUCGGCAAUUAACCAUCGAGGCUGUCUUUUGCCAGCCUAACUAGCAAGAGGAGACAGUUAAAAGAUAAUAUCAAAGCAGGUGUAUUGCUAAACACAGUUGUUUAAAACAGCUAUGAAGAACUUGUACUUUUGUAAAACUCAUUUUCUUUCAUGGUAGGAAUUCCUAUUGUUUUAUUGUAGAGUUGUCAUUUUUGCUUAGGUGCAUCAGAAAUGCUUACACUCAUGCACACGUACACAGCUACACUUACGCAUGCAUUUUUUUAGUGGGGAAAAAAAUCAAAUUGGGUUCUGCAAAGAGGAGAGGAGGAUGGAAUCAAAUUUGGGGUCUCCUAGCUGUAAUACUCUGUUUAAUUGCCAGUCUUAACAGGAUGAGCACUGGAACAUGUCCGGACAGAUCCAGGCAGCUGGUGAAAACUCAUGAAUUCUCUGCAGCACAGAAGGGAGCAGGUUUGCAUUCAGGCCACUGAGACGACGGAGGCUGCAUCACAGAAGAGGCCGUGGGAGGUCACAGGUACGGCCUCUCCUUCUGACUGUACAAUGAACUCUGCAAGCUGUGUGGUCAGAGUGCCAGGGACAGCCAGGAACUGCUGUCAUCGUUCCAGGUGGAGCUGACAGACUGUCUCCGAAGCGCCCACCUGCGCGUGCGCCCCCUCUUCCCGGCACAGGCUAGAGAUGCGCAGAAUCCUAACUACGGCCACCGUUUCCUGCCUCAACGAGCCAUGCCCUAAAAGAAACAAAUGCAUCGCCCCAGAAUUCUUAGAAAGUUACAAUCAUCUGCUUAACUCUUUUAAUUUCCUUUUCCUUCAACUUAAACUUUAAUUUCAGGUAUCUUCUAUACAACACAGAAGUCACGCUCUGGAUAGAAUUAAAAGGAAAUUAACUUGGGGUUUAGGGUGGACGUUUUUUGCCUUAUUUUGCUUCUUAGUAAAUGAAAGUGAAGCCUGAAUAAUGAGAAUAUUAUUAAUCCAUCUCCAUUUUUCUACUUUAAAGGCACAGCAUAGAUUUUGGUUCCAGUUGUUACUACUUUAAUGAGAGUAAUGAAUAUUCCAUGUGAGGGCAGUGUGCAUGAAAGUGUGCUGGGAAAGUUCUAUGGAUCUUUGUGUUUUGUUUCAGUUUUGAGGAUUAAAUGCAAGUUUAAUCCUUUAAUGAAUAUAUAAGUCGGUUGAUGCCCUUUCUUGAGAAAGUUAUGGUUAAAUUGUUGUGUCAAAUCAUUGUAUUUCAUUCUGUCUCCAGUGUGGGGGUAGCAUAGAGAGGUGGUGGGUAGGGCUGGGGGUGAAUAUGUGUGUUUUUCUUAAGCGACGCUAGUUUUGGAAAAUGUAAGGAUUCCAAAGGUUAAUGUGGAU
rnacentral:lncRNA from 1 species